UCCUGUUGGUUUCCUUUGACUGUGAUGUG
rnacentral:piRNA from 1 species